GGGCCCUGCCCAUUGCACCAUCAGGGCUUGGUGAGAACCUGGCCUGCGAGACUGCGGAGUCUCUGGUGGCCCGGCCAGGAGCCGUGCCUGGACUGCAGCCGCCCCUUCCUUCCCCGCUGCUUCGGGAAGGAGUCCCCAUCACUAGAGUGGAUGAUGGCGAAGGCACUGUCCAGGCGCAGCCUCCCCUUUGACUCUGACAAGGGUUUUCUUCACUGACCAUUCCCGUCAGCAGCCUCGACUGAGGCCCAGUGACCCGAAGUCACACAGCUCCUAAGUGGCACCGCCAACUGUCCAAUCCCCAGGCUGCUCCCUCUCCCUCCUGAGCACAUUUUUUUCUUUUUAUACCAGGGAUUGAACCCGGGAGUGUUUACCCACUGAGCUACGUCCCCAGCCCUUUUUUAUAUUUUAUUUGGAGACAGGGUCUCACUAAGUUGCUUAAGGCCUUGCCAAGUUGCAGAGGCUGGCCUCAAACUUGCUAACCUCAAACUUCCUAUCCUCCUGCCUCAGCUUCCCAAGCCACUGGGAUUACAGGUGUGUGCCACUGCGCCCGGCUGCUUGUUUUUUUUUUUCCUGGACAUAAGUAAUCUUUGAGGCUUGAAUGCAGUAUGAAAUUUGAAGAGUCCCAAAGGCUGUAAGUUGACAAGUCUCCCUCCCACCCUGCCCUGUAGUUACCCAGGGGCCUUCUACUGAGGUGGCUAUUAGCAGUGGCUGUCUCAACCUUUUUUAAGAAACCCCUGGCACACAGGUCUCCUCUGAAAGGCAACAGGAACGCUCUUGGCUUUGUGACUUGCUGACUUGCCCUGGAGCUGCCCUGUGCCAGCAGUUCCUCCCCUUGUCACAGUCCCCAUUUCAUCCUCUGACUAGAGAAAGCGCCCAGGGCACCUGGAACCCAUCGCAGGUCAAGGCGACAGAGACGUGGCCUUUGCCUCUCAGCCUGGGCCCGAGUGUUUUCCUCAGGCACCCAGAGCACUUGGGGUUCUGGGCUGCGCAUCUCCUGGCUCCUCUGCCCUGCCGAGCACCCAUCUUCUCCACCCUGGGGCGCGUAUUCUGCACAUGGGACUGAGUCCCUCUUAGCUGUGUCCCGUGUCAGGGACCACAGUGUUGGCACCUUUGGCUCUGCAGUUCCACCAUGUCCCCCUGUAUCUCGAGUGGGCUCCAGUUGGCGUCUUCUCCAGCACAGCCCCUCAGGGGAAAGAGCCCAAGAAGCAUCUGUGGGAGAGAACAUGGUGGAGCCAGAAACCGGCAAGAACAGGUCAAUGUCGUGGGCAGGCUGGCGAGGGGUGGGCAGAGAGCCAGGAGCAGUUCAGCAGACCGCUGCUUUACGGCUUUGUUCAUCCACAGACCAGCGGGUCUCGGUCUCUGAUUAUGCAGGUGUUAAAACAUCCCUGAAAAACAGCAUCAGAGCCGGGUGAAGGGGCCCACGCCUGUCACCCCAGAAGCUCAGGAGGCUGAGGCAGGAGGAUCCUGAGUUCAGAGGCAGCCUCAGUGAGACCCUGUCUCUAAAUACAUGCAAAAUAGGGCUGGGCUGGGGCUCAGUGGUGAAACACCCCUGAAUGCAUUUCCUGGUACCAUAAAAAAAGAGAUCAGAAUCACGAGUGCACCGUAAUGUAGCAUAUUUUUAGUUUGUCACCUAAUGGUUAAGGGAAGAAAACCUAGAUCUCUUCAUACCCAGAAGAGCCCAUGAAAGCCCAGAGCUCCAUUGGUGGCUGAGGGUUUGGGGAGCCUGUUCUGGAGUGGCUCAGUGCCCUCUGAUGUCCAGCGACUGCCCAGGCAGGAAAGGAAAGACCAAUGUGUGUCCCCAGCCACAGGGGUGCCAGCCCCCUGGGUACCCCCUCACAGUGGGGCAUUUGAGGCAGGAUGAGGUUUUCCUUCAGGACUGUGGUGCACACUGCAGGUCAUGGCUUGGCCCUGGCCCUCGCCCGUCAGGAUGCCAAAACCUGAGACCCUCCCCGUCCCCCAGCUGCCCCUAGGAGACAGGCAGCUUCCCAUGGAACCACGUAGUCUGGAGACCACGACCACGUCUUAGAAUAGACACCUGGAGGGAGGUUCUGAGGACUGGGUUGUUUGACCCAGAUGUUCAGAUUUUACCUUCGGCCCACCCCCGCCACACAGGGCUUCCAGUUGCUCAGUUUACUAGGAUAAGGAUUUUCCUCUUAAAGAUAGACUGUCUCU
rnacentral:lncRNA from 1 species